CCUACGGGAGGCAGCAGUGAGGAAUAUUGGUCAAUGGGCGCAAGCCUGAACCAGCCAUGCCGCGUGCAGGAAGAAUGCCCUACGGGUUGUAAACUGCUUUUAUUUGGGAAUAAACCUUUCUACGUGUAGAAAGCUGAAGGUACCAAUUGAAUAAGCACCGGCUAACUCCGUGCCAGCAGCCGCGGUAAUACGGAGGGUGCAAGCGUUAUCCGGAAUCAUUGGGUUUAAAGGGUCCGCAGGCGGACCUAUAAGUCAGUGGUGAAAGCCUACAGCUUAACUGUAGAACUGCCAUUGAAACUGUAGGUCUUGAAUUCGGUCGAAGUGGGCGGAAUGUGUAGUGUAGCGGUGAAAUGCAUAGAUAUUACACAGAACACCGAUAGCGAAGGCAGCUCACUAGGCCUGGAUUGACGCUCAGGGACGAAAGCGUGGGGAUCAAACAGGAUUAGAUACCCUGGUAGUCCACGCCGUAAACUAUGAUUACUCGUUUUCGGCGAUAUACAGUCGGAGACUAAGCGAAAGUGAAUAAGUAAAUCCACCUGGGGAGUACGAUCGCAAGGUUGAAACUUAAAUGAAAUUGACGGNGUGAGAGAGCGAGACGACGACGAGGGAGGAGG
rnacentral:rRNA from 1 species